rnacentral:rRNA from 1 species
CCCUUAGAGUUUGAUCCUGGCUCAGGAUGAACGCUGGCGGCGUGCUUAACACAUGCAAGUCGAACGAAGCACUUUACCUGAUUUCCUUCGGGGAUGAUUGUUCUGUGACUGAGUGGCGGACGGGUGAGUAACGCGUGGAUAACCUGCCUCACACAGGGGGAUAACAGUUGGAAACGACUGCUAAUACCGCAUAAGCGCACAGCACCGCAUGGUGCAGUGUGAAAAACUCCGGUGGUGUGAGAUGGAUCCGCGUCUGAUUAGCUUGUUGGCGGGGUAACGGCCCACCAAGGCGACGAUCAGUAGCCGGCCUGAGAGGGCGACCGGCCACAUUGGGACUGAGACACGGCCCAGACUCCUACGGGAGGCAGCAGUGGGGAAUAUUGCACAAUGGGGGAAACCCUGAUGCAGCGACGCCGCGUGAGCGAUGAAGUAUUUCGGUAUGUAAAGCUCUAUCAGCAGGGAAG